rnacentral:rRNA from 1 species
CAGCAGCCACGGGAAUACCGAGGGUGCAAGCGUUAAUCGGAAUUACUGGGCGUAAAGCGCGCGUAGGUGGUUUGUUAAGUUGGAUGUGAAAUCCCCGGGCUCAACCUGGGAACUGCAUCCAAAACUGGCAAGCUAGAGUAUGGUAGAGGGUGGUGGAAUUUCCUGUGUAGCGGUGAAAUGCGUAGAUAUAGGAAGGAACACCAGUGGCGAAGGCGACCACCUGGACUGAUACUGACACUGAGGUGCGAAAGCGUGGGGAGCAAACAGGAUUAGAGACCCCUGUAGUCCCUGUCUCUUAUAC